rnacentral:rRNA from 1 species
GACGAACGCUGGCGGCGUGCCUAAUACAUGCAAGUAGAACGCAGUUGCGAACGGGGGAGUAACGCGUAGGUAACUGCCUGGGAGCGGGGGAUAACUACUGGAAACGAUAGCUAAUACCGCACACUACCAGAUGGACCUGCGUUGUAUUAGCUAGGUGGUGGGGUAACGGCCCCCCAAGGCAAAGAUACAUAGCCGACCUGGGAGGGAUGACGGCCAAACUGGGAAUGGGACACGGCCCAGGCUCCCUCGGGGAGGAGGAGUAGGGAAAUUUCGGGAAAGGGGGGAACCCUGAACGCGCAAAGCCGCGGGAGUGAAGAAAGUUUUCGGGACUGAAAGCUCUUUUGUUUAGGAAGCGGUACUUAACCAGAAAGGGACGGCUAACUACGUGCCAGCAGCCGCGGUAAUAC